CAGCUAAUGAUUACAGUUUAAAGACAAUUUCUGUGAUCAAGUUGUCAUUUGGAAGAUUAAACCCAUUUCACGAGGACUUGGAGCCUGGUCCUUGCUUUGAGGAAGCAGUGGCUUGUUUCAAGAAGCCACUUCUGAUCUAAGAAUCUACCCAGCAUGCCUAAUCAAGGAGAAGACUGCUAUUUUUUUUUCUAUUCUACAUGUACCAAAGGUGACAGCUGCCCAUUCCGUCACUGUGAAGCUGCACUAGGCAAUGAAACUGUUUGCACAUUAUGGCAAGAAGGGCGCUGUUUUCGACGGGUGUGCAGGUUUCGGCACAUGGAGAUUGAUAAAAAACGCAGUGAAAUUCCUUGUUAUUGGGAAAAUCAGCCAACAGGAUGUCAAAAAUUAAACUGCGCUUUCCAUCACAAUAGAGGACGAUAUGUUGAUGGCCUUUUCCUACCUCCGAGCAAAAGUGUGUUGCCCACUGUGCCUGAGUCACCAGAAGAGGAAGUGAAGGCUAGCCAACUUUCAGUUCAGCAGAACAAAUUGUCUGUCCAGUCCAAUCCUUCCCCUCAGCUGCGGAGCGUUAUGAAAGUAGAAAGUUCCGAAAAUGUUCCUAGCCCCAAGCAUCCACCAGUUGUAAUUAAUGCUGCAGAUGAUGAUGAAGAUGAUGAUGAUCAGUUUUCUGAGGAAGGUGAUGAAACCAAAACACCUACCCUGCAACCAACUCCUGAAGUUCACAAUGGAUUACGAGUGACUUCUGUCCGGAAACCUGCAGUCAAUAUAAAGCAAGGAACUGCUGUUGUAAGCGGCUCAUCAAGAGUUGAACUUCACGUAGCCUUGUUGGGAAUAUGGAAAAGGAAGAAAGCCACAGGACUGCCCAUUCAGUCUUG
rnacentral:lncRNA from 1 species